CAGAUGCUGUUCUCCCCACACAAAGCUCACAGGUUUAUAAAGAGUGAGCAAAUGAGAAGCUAGGCCCAACAUUUAUAUCUUAAACCCACUGGCAGAUUAGUCCUCUUGAUUUUGUGUUUCUGGGUUCUAUAUUUUUAGAAAUACCAUCAUCUAUACUGGAAAUGCUUUACUGUGCAGUGAAGGAUGAAGUUCAAUGAAGGAGAGCUCCAAGGGUGUGUGAGUUUCUAGGAACUGGAAUAAAACAAAGAAAAUCUAACUCAGAUGGGCUCCAGAGAGGAGGAUCCAAGAGUGAUAUUACUGUGCCCUCGUGAUGGAGUUCCAUACGUGGCACGCCACCACAGCAUGGCUUGAUGAGCUGUGCUUAGGUCCGCACCCGGGAUCUGAACCUGCAAACCCUGGGUCACCGAAGUGGAGCUUGCAAAAU